GGCGUUAAGUUGCAGGGUAUAGACCCGAAACCCGGUGAUCUAGCCAUGGGCAGGUUGAAGGGUGGGUAACACUAACUGGAGGACCGAACCGACUAAUGUUGAAAAAUUAGCGGAUGACCUGUGGCUGGGGGUGAAAGGCCAAUCAAACCGGGAGAUAGCUGGUUCUCCCCGAAAGCUAUUUAGGUAGCGCCUCGUGAAUUCAUCUCCGGGGGUAGAGCACUGUUUCGGCUAGGGGGCCAUCCCGGCUUACCAACCCGAUGCAAACUGCGAAUACCGGAGAAUGUUAUCACGGGAGACACACGGCGGGUGCUAACGUCCGUCGUGAAGAGGGAAACAACCCAGACCGCCAGCUAAGGUCCCAAAGUCAUGGUUAAGUGGGAAACGAUGUGGGAAGGCCCAGACAGCCAGGAUGUUGGCUUAGAAGCAGCCAUCAUUUAAAGAAAGCGUAAUAGCUCACUGGUCGAGUCGGCCUGCGCGGAAGAUGUAACGGGGCUAAACCAUGCACCGAAGCUGCGGCAGCGACACUGUGUGUUGUUGGGUAGGGGAGCGUUCUGUAAGCCUGUGAAGGUGUGUCGUGAGGCAUGCUGGAGGUAUCAGAAGUGCGAAUGCUGACAUAAGUAACGAUAAAGCGGGUGAAAAGCCCGCUCGCCGGAAGACCAAGGGUUCCUGUCCAACGUUAAUCGGGGCAGGGUGAGUCGACCCCUAAGGCGAGGCCGAAAGGCGUAGUCGAUGGGAAACGGGUUAAUAUUCCCGUACUUGGUGUUACUGCGAAGGGGGGACGGAGAAGGCUAUGUUGGCCGGGCGACGGUUGUCCCGGUUUAAGCGUGUAGGUGUGUGUUCCAGGUAAAUCCGGUUCACUUUAACACUGAGGCGUGACGACGAGGCACUACGGUGCUGAAGCAACAAAUGCCCUGCUUCCAGGAAAAGCCUCUAAGCAUCAGGUAACAUCAAAUCGUACCCCAAACCGACACAGGUGGUCAGGUAGAGAAUACCAAGGCGCUUGAGAGAACUCGGGUGAAGGAACUAGGCAAAAUGGUGCCGUAACUUCGGGAGAAGGCACGCUGACACGUAGGUGAAGUGAUUUACUCAUGGAGCUGAAGUCAGUCGAAGAUACCAGCUGGCUGCAACUGUUUAUUAAAAACACAGCACUGUGCAAACACGAAAGUGGACGUAUACGGUGUGACGCCUGCCCGGUGCCGGAAGGUUAAUUGAUGGGGUCAGCGCAAGCGAAGCUCCUGAUCGAAGCCCCGGUAAACGGCGGCCGUAACUAUAACGGUCCUAAGGUAGCGAAAUUCCUUGUCGGGUAAGUUCCGACCUGCACGAAUGGCGUAAUGAUGGCCAGGCUGUCUCCACCCGAGACUCAGUGAAAUUGAACUCGCUGUGAAGAUGCAGUGUACCCGCGGCAAGACGGAAAGACCCCGUGAACCUUUACUAUAGCUUGACACUGAACAUUGAGCCUUGAUGUGUAGGAUAGGUGGGAGGCUUUGAAGUGUGGACGCCAGUCUGCAUGGAGCCGACCUUGAAAUACCACCCUUUAAUGUUUGAUGUUCUAACGUGGACCCGUUACCCGGGUUGCGGACAGUGUCUGGUGGGUAGUUUGACUGGGGCGGUCUCCUCCUAAAGAGUAACGGAGGAGCACGAAGGUUGGCUAAUCCUGGUCGGACAUCAGGAGGUUAGUGCAAUGGCAUAAGCCAGCUUGACUGCGAGCGUGACGGCGCGAGCAGGUGCGAAAGCAGGUCAUAGUGAUCCGGUGGUUCUGAAUGGAAGGGCCAUCGCUCAACGGAUAAAAGGUACUCCGGGGAUAACAGGCUGAUACCGCCCAAGAGUUCAUAUCGACGGCGGUGUUUGGCACCUCGAUGUCGGCUCAUCACAUCCUGGGGCUGAAGUAGGUCCCAAGGGUAUGGCUGUUCGCCAUUUAAAGUGGUACGCGAGCUGGGUUUAGAACGUCGUGAGACAGUUCGGUCCCUAUCUGCCGUGGGCGCUGGAGAACUGAGGGGGGCUGCUCCUAGUACGAGAGGACCGGAGUGGACGCAUCACUGGUGUUCGGGUUGUCAUGCCAAUGGCACUGCCCGGUAGCUAAAUGCGGAAGAGAUAAGUGCUGAAAGCAUCUAAGCACGAAACUUGCCCCGA
rnacentral:rRNA from 1 species